GUCACUUCAUUGGUGAAGAAAGAAUCCAUGCAUAUUACAUGUGGAAAGCUUGUAAUUUUUUUCCACAUACUGGACUCAAUGUCCUCAUUCAUUUGUCUUUGAUCAAAGUCAAUGAAGAUGAUAGAUUAUGGAUGCACAAUCAACUCAGAGAUCUUGGAAGAGAGAUUGUCGAGCAAGAAUGCGUUACGAAUCCUGAGGAGCGCAGUAGGCUGUGGUAUCCGAAGACCGCCUCAAAUGUGGUUCAGAAUAACUUGGUAUGCC
rnacentral:lncRNA from 1 species